CACGUAGUUAGCCGGUGCUUCUUCUGCAGGUACCGUCACUUUCGCUUCUUCCCUACUGAAAGAGGUUUACAACCCGAAGGCCGUCAUCCCUCACGCGGCGUCGCUGCAUCAGGCUUUCGCCCAUUGUGCAAUAUUCCCCACUGCUGCCUCCCGUAGGAGUCUGGGCCGUGUCUCAGUCCCAGUGUGGCCGGUCACCCUCUCAGGCCGGCUACCCGUCGUCGCCUUGGUGAGCCAUUACCUCACCAACAAGCUGAUAGGCCGCGAGUCCAUCCAAAACCGAUAAAUCUUUCCAACACCCACCAUGCGGUAGGCGCUCCUAUCCGGUAUUAGACCUAGUUUCCCAGGCUUAUCCCAGAGUUAAGGGCAGGUUACUCACGUGUUACUCACCCGUUCGCCACUAAUCCACCCAGCAAGCUGAGCUUCAUCGUUCGACUUGCAUGUGUUAAGCACGCCGCCAGCGUUCAUCCUGAGCCAGGAUCAAACUCU
rnacentral:rRNA from 1 species